AACGUGGGGGCACCCUGACCGCAAUGCCGCGUGAGUGAAGAAGGCCUUCGGGUUGUAAAGCUCUUUUGUCAGGGAAGAAACACCGGCUCUAACACAGUCCGGGAAUGACGGUACCUGAAGAAUAAGCACCGGCUAACUACGUGCCAGCAGCCGCGGUAAUACGUAGGGUGCAAGCGUUAAUCGGAAUUACUGGGCGUAAAGCGUGCGCAGGCGGUUAUACAAGACAGGCGUGAAAUCCCCGGGCUUAACCUGGGAAUGGCGCCUGUGACUGUAUAGCUAGAGUGUGUCAGAGGGGGGUAGAAUUCCACGUGUAGCAGUGAAAUGCGUAGAUAUGUGGAGGAAUACCAAUGGCGAAGGCAGCCCCCUGGGAUAACACUGACGCUCAUGCACGAAA
rnacentral:rRNA from 1 species